rnacentral:lncRNA from 1 species
UGGUAAUUGGUAAAUAAAAUCUGUUCUUUUUGGUAUGGGUUGCUCUGGUCUAAGUUGGAUAUUGAAAGGUUUGAGUUUUUUGGCUUGGUGAGUAGUUACUUCUAUCCCUUUUCCUUUAUCUAUUUUGUCAUAUUUUUCUUGGCUAAUUGUUAUCUCCUUAAAUUCUUGCAGGUCUAUUUCUUGCUCUUUUUUGCUGUCUUCCAUAUGGCUAAUUCUGC